rnacentral:rRNA from 1 species
UACGAAGGUGGCAAGCGUUGUUCGGAUUUACUGGGCGUACAGGGAGCGUAGGCGGUUGGGUAAGCCCUCCGUGAAAUCUCCGGGCCUAACCCGGAAAGUGCGGAGGGGACUGCUCGGCUAGAGGAUGGGAGAGGAGCGCGGAAUUCCCGGUGUAGCGGUGAAAUGCGUAGAGAUCGGGAGGAAGGCCCGUGGCGAAAGCGGCUCUCUGGAACGGUACUGACGCUGAGACGCGAAAGCGUGGGGAGCGAACAGG